AACAUCACUGCAAGUCUGUGCU
rnacentral:miRNA from 1 species